GAUGAACGCUGGCGGCGUGCCUAAUACAUGCAAGUCGAACGCACAGCGAAAGGUGCUUGCACCUUUCAAGUGAGUGGCGAACGGGUGAGUAACACGUGGACAACCUGCCUCGAGGCUGGGGAUAACAUUUGGAAACAGAUGCUAAUACCGAAUAAAACUUAGUGUCGCAUGACACAAAGUUAAAAGGCGCUUCGGCGUCACCUAGAGAUGGAUCCGCGGUGCAUUAGUUAGUUGGUGGGGUAAAGGCCUACCAAGACAAUGAUGCAUAGCCGAGUUGAGAGACUGAUCGGCCACAUUGGGACUGAGACACGGCCCAAACUCCUACGGGAGGCUGCAGUAGGGAAUCUUCCACAAUGGGCGAAAGCCUGAUGGAGCAACGCCGCGUGUGUGAUGAAGGCUUUCGGGUCGUAAAGCACUGUUGUAUGGGAAGAACAGCUAGAAUAGGAAAUGAUUUUAGUUUGACGGUACCAUACCAGAAAGGGACGGCUAAAUACGUG
rnacentral:rRNA from 1 species